rnacentral:sRNA from 1 species
ACGGACCGCAUCCCGGAAGGGGUGAUACGGAUGCACGACGAGCGUCAGCGAGAGAGCGUUGCCGCAGCAGACCCGAAGGGCGAAGCGCGCAGCGCUGAGUAAUCCUUCCCCCACCACCA